rnacentral:rRNA from 1 species
UGCAAGUCGAACGGUAACAUGUGGUGCUUGCACCAGAUGACGAGUGGCGCACGGGUGCGUAACGCGUAUGCAAUCUACCUUUUACUGAAGAAUAGCCCAGAGAAAUUUGGAAUAAUCCUUCAUAAUAUCAUUUAUCAGCAUUGAUUUAUGAUUAAAGCUCCGGCGGUAAAAGAUGAGCAUGCGUCCUAUUAGUUUGUUGGUGAGGUAACGGCUCACCAAGACUACGAUAGGUAGGGGCCCUGAGAGGGGGAUCCCCCACACUGGUACUGAGACACGGACCAGACUCCUACGGGAGGCAGCAGUGAGGAAUAUUGGACAAUGGAGGCAACUCUGAUCCAGCCAUGCCGCGUGCAGGAUGACUGCCCUAUGGGUUGUAAACUGCUUUUAUAUAGGAAGAAACACUCCCACGUGUGGGGGCUUGACGGUACUAUAUGAAUAAGGAUCGGCUAACUCCGUGCCAGCAGCCGCGGUAAUACGGAGGAUCCAAGCGUUAUCCGGAAUCAUUGGGUUUAAAGGGCCCGCAGGCGGCCUUUUAAGUCAGAGGUGAAAGCCAACAGCUCAACUGUUGAACUGCCUUUGAUACUGAUAGGCUUGAGUUAUUGUGAAGUGGUUAGAAUGUGUGGUGUAGCGGUGAAAUGCUUAGAUAUCACACAGAAUACCCAUUGCGAAGGCAGAUCACUAACAAUAUACUGACGCUCAUGGACGAAAGCGUGGGGAGCGAACGGGAUUAGAUACCCCGGUAGUCCACGCCGUAAACGAUGGAUACUAACUGUUCGACCUUCGGGUUGAGUGGUCAAGCGAAAGUGAUAAGUAUCCCACCUGGGGAGUACGCUCGCAAG